rnacentral:rRNA from 1 species
GACGAACGCUGGCGGCGUGCUUAAUACAUGCAAGUCGAACGGAAAGGCCCUGCUUUUGUGGGGUGCUCGAGUGGCGAACGGGUGAGUAACACGUGAGUAACAUGCCCUUGACUUUGGGAUAACUUCAGGAAACUGGGGCUAAUAUCGGAUAGGAGCUCCUGCUGCAUGGUGGGGGUUGGAAAGUUUCGGCGUUGGGGGAUGGACUCGCGGCUUAUCAGCUUGUUGGUGGGGUAGUGGCGUACCAAGGCUUCGACGGAUAGCCGGCCUGAGAGCGUGACCGGCGACAUUGGGACUGAGAUACGGCCCAGAAGCCUACGGGAGGCAGCAGUCGGGAAUAUUACGCAGUGGGGCGAAGCCUGAUGCAGCAACGCCGCGUGCGGGAUGACGGCCUUCGAGUUGUAAACCGCUUUCGCCUGUGACGAAGCGUGAGUGACGGUAAUGAGUAAAAAAGCACCGGCUAACUACGUG